rnacentral:lncRNA from 10 species
GCCGUAAGGUUUGCAGGCCUCCCCCGCCCUCCGCCCUUCCUUGUUUUGGUUCACUCUCUUGGCUUCCUCCUCCGCUGUCGCAGUUCCAGAAGAUGCGUCCAGCCACAACAAAGCUCUGAGGACCCGGGGAGCAUUUCUUCCCAGGGCUAUCACAAGUGAGAGAACGCUUUCCAGAAACCUCCCAGGAAGACUUCCCUUCACAUCUUGUUGGACAGAAUAAUACCACCUUAUAUUUAUGGAGCACUUACUAUUUGAUCUACAGAAGAAUGCCAGAAGGUCAAACAGGUACCCAUCUCCCAUUCAUAUGCCAUUUACAGUGAGAUGCCUCAUAAGGAAGAAGGGGCCACACUCCCGCCCAGGAUGCCUGUCCCUAACCCAGUGCUUCCACAGACCCAGCCCAUCAGAUUCAGGGCUAUCCCAGGCACAGGGAGGCAAUACCACUCGUCUGAAACAGUAACUUCCACUGUGGGCAAAUGAGAAAGUCAAACCUCAUGCCUUUUGAUCAGACAGGACGGAGUAUUUUUAUGGUCAAGCGGCCAUGUAGCAGUAGGAAGAAGACUGAGAAACUGGGACGCAAAACACAAACUCAGCCACAGUGUUGCGAGCGUUCUAGGAAGGGCCCCACCCCUGGGAGGCAGCGCGCUGAGCAGGUCCCGCAGGCUGCAGUGGAGUCACAGUGCGCAACGCCAUUGUAGAGCAGGUGCCUUGGUGUUGCCCACGCCACAAACAUGUUAUGGGACCCUGACAGUCUCUCUCUCUCCACAUCUGUUGCUUUACCUGAAAUAGGGUUCCUUUCCAUUUUCUUGCUCCACUUUUUUUUCCGAGACAAACCAGAAAGCAUCAGUAAAGAAAUCUAAGUUUCUACAAGUUACUGCCAACUUUCAUGAAAUCUGUGUAAUUUUAAAUGUCUUUUAACCAUUGCCAAGAUAAGAAGCAAAGGAGUCAGGUUUCUCUUCCGCAGGUCAAAUGCAGCCGCCCAUCUGUUCAAGCCUGCGUAUCAGGACCUGGAAGCCCCAUGCAGACCCAUCUACUCUGUCAUUCUUUUCAUCUGUUGCUUUUCAAUCGGUAUGGUUUUUCCCUACCAUUCUGAAUUCAGGUUUCACUACAUUAUACUUUUUUGGCCUCAUAAAAAUGAGGCACAAGGUAUAAUAUAUAUGGCUAAUUUUAAAUUUAAGCAAUGCAAGUAGAUAUUGAAUGAUAAAAACAUUUAAAAUCCUCAUUCUAUUACUCAUGUAAGAGGAUCAGCGGAGUCUUUCAGAGGAAGAGCAAGGUUUUAAAGCCAAAACCACAAAGGGAAGGGUGUACCUGAGUGUUAGUAUAUAAACCUUUCACUCUGAUGGCUUGAGGUCAAGACUUGGUUAGUUCAAAAGUGAAUGAAUGUUUGGAUUCUUCACCUCCUACCUAGUAAAUAUUUAUUCCGAUUAUAAAAUGGCAAGAAACACUGGCACAACCAACAUUCUCUGCUUGAGAGAAGCUAC